UUUUGGACAAUGGGGGCAACCCUGAUCCAGCAAUGCCGCGUGAGUGAAGAAGGCCUUCGGGUUGUAAAGCUCUUUUGUCAGGGAAGAAACACCGGCUCUAACACAGUCCGGGAAUGACGGUACCUGAAGAAUAAGCACCGGCUAACUACGUGCCAGCAGCCGCGGUAAUACGUAGGGUGCGAGCGUUAAUCGGAAUUACUGGGCGUAAAGCGUGCGCAGGCGGUUAUACAAGACAGGCGUGAAAUCCCCGGGCUUAACCUGGGAAUGGCGCCUGUGACUGUAUAGCUAGAGUGUGUCAGAGGGGGGUAGAAUUCCACGUGUAGCAGUGAAAUGCGUAGAUAUGUGGAGGAAUACCAACGGCGAAGGCAGCCCCCUGGGAUAACACUGACGCUCAUGCACGAA
rnacentral:rRNA from 1 species